rnacentral:rRNA from 1 species
AGAGUUUGAUCAUGGCUCAGAAUCAACGCUGGCGGCGUGCCUAACACAUGCAAGUCGAACGCGGUUAUCCCGCAAGGGAUAGCUGAGUGGCGAACGGGUGAGUAACACGUGGGUGACCUACCUUCGAGUGGGGGAUAACGUCCCGAAAGGGACGCUAAUACCGCAUAACAUCCUGCCUUUGAACAGGUGGAGAUCAAAGCUGGGGAUCGCAAGACCUGGCGUUUGAAGAGGGGCCCGCGUCUGAUUAGCUAGUUGGUGAGGUAACGGCCCACCAAGGCUACAAUCAGUAUCCGGCCUGACAGGGCGGACGGACACACUGGGACUGAAACACGGCCCAGACUCCUACGGGAGGCAGCAGUGGGGAAUUGUUCACAAUGGGCGCAAGCCUGAUGACGCAACGCCGCGUGGAGGAAGAAAGUCUUCCGACUGAAAAAACCCGCUGUACGUUCCCGCCAGCUCUCACGCAAUACUAAGGGGCC